UAAUAUCUAGCCCAUUAACACAAUUCAUCCUGUUUCUUAUACAUUCGUUUUUUUUUUCCAAUUUAGACAAUGGAUUUGAGUUUAACAGAUAAGUCUAACAUUGAUGAAGUAUACAAUGCGAUUAUAUUGAGUCCUCUGAGUGAAAUUCUGCCCAGCGAUCAUUAUGAAGAUUACAGAAAAAAAGUUGUCGAAGCUUCCAAUACCAGAUCCGAGAAAGGAAAAAGAUGAGACGUUCAAGAGAUUGCUUGAUGUAACAGUUCAUGAAAAAGUAAAUGUUGAUCCACCAAGUGGUAUUAACAGCAAAGGUUCAGGUACACAUAUUGGGAAAAGGUUAAAGAAUCCUCGUGAGGCGCCUGUUAACAAAUAAGACGUGUUGUACGACAAUGCAAAUGGUGUCUUAAAGUCCAAGAUGAGCAUGACCAACGCAAAUGUCCACAUAAACUUGCCAACCAACUUGCUAGAAAAAAAAAAGACAGCCACAAAGGCAAGAAAGGAAGCGAAGUCAAAAAAGGAUGUUUCGCAUUCACCUGAUACAAGUGCCUAGCAAAUAUUUACUUUUUUUACAUUUUCUUUUACUGUUAAGGGUUACCAUUACAUACAUUGUCAUGUAAGUUUUUUUCCGAAUUUUACUAGUCUAUUUGCUUUUACCAAUCCUGAGUAAACCCACAAAGUUUUUUAUUGGUUAUUAGCUAUGUGUUA